rnacentral:rRNA from 1 species
UUGUGAAAUGUUGGGUUAAGUCCCGCAACGAGCGCAACCCUUAUCUUUUGUUGCCAGCGGUCCGGCCGGGAACUCAAAGGAGACUGCCAGUGAUAAACUGGAGGAAGGUGGGGAUGACGUCAAGUCAUCAUGGCCCUUACGACCAGGGCUACACACGUGCUACAAUGGCGCAUACAAAGAGAAGCGACCUCGCGAGAGCAAGCGGACCUCAUAAAGUGCGUCGUAGUCCGGAUUGGAGUCUGCAACUCGACUCCA